AUUGAACGCUGGCGGCAUGCCUUACACAUGCAAGUCGAACGGUAACGGGCCUUCGGGUGCCGACGAGUGGCGAACGGGUGAGUAAUACAUCGGAACGUGCCCGAUCGUGGGGGAUAACGAGGCGAAAGCUUUGCUAAUACCGCAUACGAUCUACGGAUGAAAGCAGGGGACCGCAAGGCCUUGCGCGGACGGAGCGGCCGAUGGCAGAUUAGGUAGUUGGUGGGAUAAAAGCUUACCAAGCCGACGAUCUGUAGCUGGUCUGAGAGGAUGAUCAGCCACACUGGGACUGAGACACGGCCCAGACUCCUACGGGAGGCAGCAGUGGGGAAUUUUGGACGAUGGGCGCAAGCCUGAUCCAGCCAUGCCGCGUGCAGGAUGAAGGCCUUCGGGUUGUAAACUGCUUUUGUACGGAACGAAAAGCCUUCUUUUAAUACAGGAGGGUCAUGACGGUACCGUAAGAAUAAGCACCGGCUAACUACGUG
rnacentral:rRNA from 1 species